GACGAACGCUGGCGGCGUGCUUAACACAUGCAAGUCGAGCGGAAAGGCCCUUUCGGGGGUACUCGAGCGGCGAACGGGUGAGUAACACGUGAGUAAUCUGCCCCUGGCUUUGGGAUAGCCACCGGAAACGGUGAUUAAUACCGGAUAUGACCACGUCUCGCAUGGGGUGUGGGGGAAAGUUUUUCGGCCAGGGAUGUGCUCGCGGCCUAUCAGCUUGAUGGUGAGGUAAUGGCUCACCAUGGCUUCGACGGGUAGCCGGCCUGAGAGGGUGACCGGUCACACUGGGACUGAGACACGGCCCAGACUCCUACGGGAGGCAGCAGUGGGGAAUAUUGGACAAUGGGCGGAAGCCUGUUCCAGCAACGCCGCGUGAGGGAUGACGGCCUUCGGGUUGUAAACCUCUUUCAGCAGGGACGAAGCGCAAGUGACGGUACCUGCAGAAGAAGCACCGGCCAACUACGUGCCAGCAGCCGCGGUAAGAC
rnacentral:rRNA from 1 species